AGGGAAACCGAGUCUUAAUUGGGCGUUAAGUUGCAGGGUAUAGACCCGAAACCCGGUGAUCUAGCCAUGGGCAGGUUGAAGGUUGGGUAACACUAACUGGAGGACCGAACCGACUAAUGUUGAAAAAUUAGCGGAUGACCUGUGGCUGGGGGUGAAAGGCCAAUCAAACCGGGAGAUAGCUGGUUCUCCCCGAAAGCUAUUUAGGUAGCGCCUCGUGAAUUCAUCUCCGGGGGUAGAGCACUGUUUCGGCUAGGGGGCCAUCCCGGCUUACCAACCCGAUGCAAACUGCGAAUACCGGAGAAUGUUAUCACGGGAGACACACGGCGGGUGCUAACGUCCGUCGUGAAGAGGGAAACAACCCAGACCGCCAGCUAAGGUCCCAAAGUCAUGGUUAAGUGGGAAACGAUGUGGGAAGGCCCAGACAGCCAGGAUGUUGGCUUAGAAGCAGCCAUCAUUUAAAGAAAGCGUAAUAGCUCACUGGUCGAGUCGGCCUGCGCGGAAGAUGUAACGGGGCUAAACCAUGCACCGAAGCUGCGGCAGCGAACGUAUCACUUAAAGCGAUUCAGCGGGUUACGAUUGACGGAGCGAAGCGACGUCAAAGCGUAUACAAAGUCGAGUCGGUUUAAGGAUACGUUCGUUGGGUAGGGGAGCGUUCUGUAAGCCUGUGAAGGUGGCCUGUGAGGGUUGCUGGAGGUAUCAGAAGUGCGAAUGCUGACAUAAGUAACGAUAAAGCGGGUGAAAAGCCCGCUCGCCGGAAGACCAAGGGUUCCUGUCCAACGUUAAUCGGGGCAGGGUGAGUCGACCCCUAAGGCGAGGCCGA
rnacentral:rRNA from 1 species